rnacentral:rRNA from 1 species
UACGAAGGGGGCUAGCGUUGCUCGGAAUCACUGGGCGUAAAGCGCACGUAGGCGGCUUUUUUAAGUCAGAGGUGAAAUCCUGGAGCUCAACUCCAGAACUGCCUUUUGAUACUGGAGAGCUUGAGUCCGGGAGAGGUGAGUGGAACUGCGAGUGUAGAGGUGAAAUUCGUAGAUAUUCGCAAGAACACCAGUGGCGAAGGCGGCUCACUGGCCCGGUACUGACGCUGAGGUGCGAAAGCGUGGGGAGCAAACAGGG